rnacentral:lncRNA from 1 species
CCCCGAACCCGGGACUGUCAGCGGACAUCCACUCUGUCCUAAUCGCCCGACGCUCCGGAGUACUCGACGACCAAUCCUCUUCAUGUGAGGAUAUGGAUGGCUUUACCAUCCCGAAUAACGGACCGUGAGCUUGAUCUAUUCCACGUGAGGAUACCCUACGAACUAGGGCCAACAUUUUCUCAGAACUCAUCUAUUCCGACAUUCAUGCAUAAUUACUUAGCUAUACUAAGUUCAUUGUUCACGAGUCAUUUACUAGGGAAUCGACCUAUCCCUAAGUUCAUGAACCUCCAGUGUCAAGUACACAACAUAAUGCCACUCGUUCUGUUCUUUAAACAUUUAGAUGCCACUCUCUAUGUCAUUAAAUAACCAUCGAGUUCAUCUCUUUCCUUUCGCACUAUAGGAUUCAUGUUCCGACCCAAUCCUUACUUAUCCAUUCACCAAGUAUUCCAUGUACACUAGGUUAACAUUUAGAAGCAUAAGAAAAAGGUAUUACCAUACAAUCCUACAAUGCAGCAUGCAAGAGAUGAGAUUAUAUGUUAUUUUAAGACAUAAUAGAGAGUUCGGUUGCUUCGGGAUGACACCCCCCACCUUUGAGGGUAUGAAGGUUUUAGAAAUGCUUCUCGCCGAACGUUACGACGAGGUCUCAGCCUCCUUGGUCCAAAACGGCGCUCAAUCAGCUAUAUUUCACUGAUAGCUUUUUACCCGCUCGACGAAUCGAAAAACCGACUUCGUCCCCGCGUUUAGACUCCUAGCAAUUAGGUUUAGAUGUCAACAAGUGAGAUCAAACCCAUUGUUUUCCAAAAACCCCAACUUGGGUGCCCUAGGGUUCACAUCUUACAAUUUGCACUAUAGAACCCUAACUUCUAGCUCUAUUCCACCAUUAAUAGUGCUAGAGGUCCAUUUGACCUCAUCUCAAAAGCUAAAAACCCCAAAACCCUAAGUUCUACCGUUAGGGUUCAAGAGCUUACCUCUAGGUUAGCUCCAAUGGAGAGGAGAGGAAGAGGGAGAUGCUCCAAGCCUUCUCUAGCUUGCUCUCCUCCUUCUUCUUCUUCUCUUUUCCUUCUUCUCCUUCUCUUUUCUUUCUUCUUUUCCUUGAGAGAGAGAGGGAGAGCUAAGGGAGAGAGAGUGAGGGUGGAAAUGAGAGGGGAAGAGAGAGCCCUUUGCUCUCUAUACACUCUAACUAAGGCAUAAAUUGCAGCUAAGCCCCUCGACUUUACUCCUCUCAAGUUUCUCUGCCUGGGCAGAUUUCGCGCGGAGGGACCGGUCCUUCCCUGCCAGGAACCGGUCCCUGAGGACCUUCCCAAUUUCACGCGUACAGGAACUGGUCCCUGCUCGAGAGACAGGUCCCCAGGGACCGGUCCUCCUGAUGAGGGACCGGUCCCCGAGAGCCUUCUGCCUGGUUGCUCUUACGAGAACUGGUCCUUCUGGCCAGGGACCGGUUGCAUCAGCUGUCUGCCGCAACCUCAGCUACGGGGAUCGGUCCUUCCCUGCCAGGGACCGGUCCCCGAGAGUAGAACCUGCCAAAUGCAUAUUUUUGCAUCUUUGCUCUCGCGGACUCGACUCCAAAGCACUUUUGUGUUUUGGACAUCUCUAGCUUUUCUAAAGCCUACUCACUCGAAGUAUAACUCUCGGAUUUUGAGAAUUCACAUCCUUACAUCCUCCCCUCCUUAAAAGGAGUUUCGUCCUCGAAAUUGAUUCAGCUUAAAUUUAAACUCAGUUUCUAUACCUUAUUCCUCAAACAAGUGAGGGUGAUGCUUUCUCAUCAGAUUUUCGAGUUCCCAGGUGGCCUCGCGAUCAUCAUGAUUGCUCCACCGGAUCUUCAGGUAUAGAAUCUCGUGAUUUCGCAGCUUUCGCACUUCUCGGGCGAUAACCAUCACCGGAAACUCUUCAUAGCUCAAGUCUUCUUGGAGUUCCGGCGGCUCGUAUAGCAUCGCAUGCUCGGGGUCAUGAAUGUACUUGCGAAGGUUGGAGACAUGGAACACAUUGUGUACAUCCGCGAGCUUCGGCGGCAAGGCAAGUCGAUAGGCCACCGUGCCAACUCGCUCCAAUAUCUCAUAUGGUCCAAUGUAUCGGGGACUUAACUUUCCCCGCACUCCAAACCACUUCACACCCCGCAUUGGCGAAACUUUUAAGAAUACGCGGUCACCCACCGCAAAUUCUAGGUCUCGACGGCGCCUAUCAGCAUAACUUUUCUUUCUCAACUGCGCCGUGAGCAAUCUCUUGCGAGCAAGGCGGACUUUCUCCUCUACUUCUCGCAACACGUCUGGGCCGAACUCUGCACCCUCACCCACAUCGCUCCAAUGUAUAGGAGAUCGACACUUCCGCCCGUAGAGGGCCUCGAGCGGUGCCAUCUCUAUACUAGCAUGAUAACUGUUGUUGUAGGCGAACUCGGCCAUCGGCAAAUGAUCACACCAACUCCCCUUAUAGUCGAUGACACACGCCCGCAGCAUACCCUCCAGAGUUUGAAUGGUCCUUUCUGUUUGCCCAUUUGUCUGAUGAUGGAAUGCUGUACUAAAAUCGAGCCGUGUGCCAAGGGCUUCCUGCAGGCUCUUUCAGAAGUGUGAAGUAAACUAGGGGUCGCGAUCCAACACGAUUGAUUUUGGCACCCCGUGCAAUCUCACUAUCUUAUCAAGGUACACCUGCGCCAACUUGUCGCCUGCCCACGUGGUGUGGAUCGGCAAAAAGUGAGUUGACUUCGUCAAUCGGUCCAUAAUUACCCAUAUUGCAUCGUGGCCGCCCAUUGAACGAGGUAAGCCGACCACGAAGUCCAUUGAUAUGUCCUCCCAUUUCCAAACGGGGAUUGGUAGGCUUUGAAGCUUGCCCGCUGGAAACCGACGCUCCGCCUUCACUUGUUGGCAUACUAAGCACUUAGCCACGAAGCGUCCAAUAUCGCCUUUCAUUCCAGACCACCAAUAGUGCAUUUUUAAUCCCUGAUACAUCUUGGUGCCGCCCGGGUGAUCACAAUAAGGCGACCAAUGUGCCUCUUGCAAGAUUAGCUCCUGAAUCUUCUCAUUAUUCAGCACACACCAUCGAUUUCGAAAUCGAAGUGCACCAUCGGCGUCUACCAUGAAAUCGCCGCCAUGACCAUUCUCGAUGUCACGCCGCACAUUUUGGAGUUCCGGGUCCACGGGUUGUAGAUCUUUGAUCCUCUCCAACAGGUUCGGUUGGAACACGAGCGCGGUCAACUGGGCCGGAAUCUCGGGAGUAACCACCUCAAGGUUCAUUCGCUCUAUGUCCAGCCAUAGGGGUGUUUGAUUUGUAACCCACAUAGCGAGGUUCUCCGCCGACUUUCUGCUCAGUGCAUCCGUGACCACAUUCGCCUUCCCCGGGUGGUAAAGGAUAUCCACGUUGUAAUCCUUUAACAAUUCUAACCACCGUCGUUGUCGCAUGUUGAGCUCUUUUUGUGUGAACAGAUACUUUAGGCUCUUGUGGUCGGUAUAGAUCUCACAAUGGGUACCGUAUAGGUAGUGCCGCCACAACUUCAAGGCGAAGAUUACCGCCGAUAGCUCCAAGUCAUGAAUGGGGUAGUUCUUUUCAUAGCUCUUCAACUGACGGAUGCAUAAGCAAUUACCUUCCUGCCUUGCAUCAAAACACAUUCCAAUCCUAGAUAGGAAGCAUUGCUAUAGACCACAAAGUCUUCGCCCUGCACCGGUAGAGCGAGUACCGGAGUCGAAGUCAAUCUUUCCUUCAACACUUUGAAACUCCGGUCGCACUCCUUGCUCCAAACGAAUUUGGUGCCUUUCUGAGCCAGACAAGUAAGUGGAAUUACUAUCUCCGAGAAGCCCUCCACGAACCGUCUAUAGUAGCCCGCCAGACCCACGAAGCUUCUAACUUCUGUGACAUUCGUUGGGCGCGGCCAAUCCUUGAUUGCCUCAACUUUCCUCUGGUCUACCGAAACUCCACCCGCAGAAAUCACAUGCCCUAGAAAUGCGACCUCUUGGAGCCAGAAGUCACACUUCUUUAACUUAGCAUAUAGCUUCUCCGCCCGAAGGACUUGAAGCACAAUCCUCAAAUGCUAGGCAUGUUCCUCGUCACUACGAGAAUAGACCAAUAUGUCGUCUAUGAAGACCACGACGAAUCGGUUCAAAUACUUCCUGAAGACACGGUUCAUCAAAUCCAUGAACGCCGCUGGAGCAUUCGUGAGUCCAAAUGGCACGACCGUGAAUUCAUAGUGCCCGUACCUCGUACGAAAUGUAGUUUUCUGCACAUCCUCCGGCUUGAUCUUCAACUGGUGAUAGCCGGACUGCAAAUCUAUCUUCGAGUACACACACGACCCUUGCAACUGAUCGAACAGGUCAUUGAUUCGGGGUAGUGGGUACUUGUUCUUAAUCAUGACUCUGUUCAACUCUUGAUAAUCCACGCAGAGUCGAAACGAUCCGUCCUUCUUCCGCAUAAAUAAUACCGGGGCUCCCCACGGUGAUACACUUGGUCGGAUGAAUUGCUUGUUGAGGAGGUCCUGUAACUGACUCCUCAACUCUUUCAAUUCUACCAGCGCCAUUCGGUACAGAGCCUUCGAGAUCGGUGCGGUACCGAGAAUCAAGUCUAUGACAAACUCGAUCUCCCAAUUUGGUGGUAUCCCCGGUAACUCCGCGGGAAACAUUCGGGAACUCCCGCACCACUGAUAACUCCUCUAAUGUUGGAGCUACUCGAUCCACUUCCACAACAACUGCCAAGAACGCUACGCAACCGCUGUUGACCAACUUUCUUGCUCUUGUCGCCCACACCGUCGCGGCGAAGCACGAGCUUUGACAAGCCCGAUAAGUGAACUCCUUCUGUCCUGGCUCAUGAAACGUAACCACUCUGCUCUUGCAGUCGAUCGUUGCGUGAUACUUUGAGAACCAGUCUAUGCCCAAUAUGACAUCGAACUCUUUAAGGUUCUUGAGCUCUAGCAUCCUAAUGGGCAUUAUCCAGUUGCCUACUUGUACUAGACACGAUGAGCAUUCCGUGUAGGUAUUAAAUGUCGACCCAGGGCCCUGAACUCGCCACUUGCCAUCACUCGCCUCUAUGAGUAUGUCAUGCAUGCGUGCGAAUGAUCUACUGAUAAAUGAAAGCGUGGCUCCUGUAUCAAACAUAGCCCUGGAGCGAACUCCGUUAAUUAAAACCAUACCUGCCACUUGGCGAUGCUCCUCCGUCUCCGCAGGCUCCUUGGCUUGGACCUAAGCGGCGAAUACUCGUCCGCUCGGGCCGAUCGCGCCAUCUCGGGCUGGCGCGGCAUCAUCGCACGUCCCGCCGACACAGCCGUCGGUGGGACUCCUCCAUAGUGAGCCGGAACCGCCGGCGCCGAUGCAAUGGAUGGGGCAGGUGAGGUUCCUCCCCGGGGCAAUCCCACACAAAGUGCCCCGGUUGCCCACACUUGUAGCACUUGCUUUUGCGCUGCCUGCAACGCGACACCGGGUGGUCUUCGCCACAUAUGAUGCACCGUCGCAUUCCACUGCCCUUUGGCUGAGUCCGCGGAUACUUCGGGGGCUUCUUGGAAUGUGCUUGUCCCUCCGAACCGCUGCCUUGAUGCUUCUUGCAUUUGUCAUUGGACUCGACCAACAUCUCGCGCUUCUCCCGAACAUGGGCGUCACCGUGCCCCGCCUAAAGUGCUCGAUCGAAGACCUCCGCGAAGGUCGUGAGCUUGAGUAUCUGCACGGCCUUGUAGAUCCCCGGCCGAAGUCCUCGUAAGAACCAGUCGGCUUGGUCCCGGUCAUCUCGUACCACAUCCGGAACACAGUCAAUAAUGUGGGAGAACUCCUGCUCAUACUGCGCUACUGAGCAGUCCCCUUGCUCCAACUUGCGGAACUUCUCCUGGAGCUUCCGCUUCAAUGUGUCGGAAAAAUAAUUGGCGAACAUUGCCCUCUUGAACUCCUCCCACAGCAUUGGUGGAAGAUCGGAAAGCCGAUCUCGCUUCACGCGCUUCCAUCACACCUUUGUCGCCUUUUCUAAGAAGUGGGUGGCAAGAUACACCUUAUCCCUCUCCAAGGUACGCAAGUCCUCGAAGAGCGUUUCCAUCGAGUCAACCCACGACUCGACCAUCGCCGACUCUACCUUCUCGCCCUCGAAGAUGGGCAGAUGAAACUUGUUAAACUUGAUAAAAGCCGCCAACGCACGAUCCCCCUCCACGUCUUCGGCCAUCAUAUCGGGUGUCGCCGAUCCCGACGCCGCUGGAGGUACAAUAGCGGUGGUGGACGUGCCGUCACCGGAGCCGCCGCAAUACCCUCACCCUCUGCCGCCUCGGGUACACGAGUCAAGGGUGCGGGCGGGACACCGCCUCAAUCAUUGUUGCGGCCGUCGCCGCGAUCUGUCGCUCCAAAAGCUCCUGGAGCUGCUCAAAUCGAGUCUCCUGGCGCUGCACCACAUUGGUCAAUGCGGUCACUUGCGCUUGCAACCGAUCGAUCUCGCUCGGUUCAGCUUGCUCGGGCACCUCAGGAGGCGGUGCCGGAGUAGAUCUCGUACUCGAGCGUCCCCUUGGCGCCGUUAGCUCCUGAAACGCAAUCGCACGGUUAAUCAUCUUAACUGACUACAUCAUCGAAAUUACGACACAUAACGACCCAACAACAAGAAUCGAGCGGAAGCACACAAGUGUACUUAUUCUAGACUCUCGGUAUUAUGUCGUCGGUCGCCGACACAACCACCUUAAGACAAGAGCUAAUACCACUUGAAUCUACCUCUAGUAAUUACUAGAGAUAUAUUACCAACUUCGACCCAAUCGAAUCACUUCCACUACCGUUAUAGGUUUACGUUCCAGUCACGCACCUAUAGCCUUAGGUUACCAACCUAGGGUCUCCUAUGUCAUUCUAGACUUUCUCUCUUUACUUGCUCUUAUUGCUCUGAUACCACAAACUGUCACGCCCCCGCCCCGAAACCCCUACCAAUUUGGCACGAUUCGGGCGCGGCGAACGGACGCCGAACGGACAGCACCUCCCCUGUCCGCCCAAGGCUCAAUAAUAGAUCGAGUACAAGAAUUUACCCAGGAUUUUAAAUUCUAUAAGUACACAAUCAACGGGGCACAAACAGUACCAACAAUAAAGAGCAAGUAAUCCACAAGAUACACGAGUGAAAUAAGAGAGAACUUACUAACUAUUACAUCAUAUUUGCAUUUUGUGUACAAUUACAUUCUUUUCCUCAAAAUGAUUACAUGUUCAUCAAGUACAUAGCUCUCCAAAGUCCUCACCUACAUGAAUCUCUGUCAAAUACAUAGGUGUGCUAAUGCAAAAGGAAAGCUACUACUCUACCAAUGGUCAUCACUGGUCGGGCGCGAUGCCCUUGUCCUCGCCCGGCAAACUUGGACCUAGUCCUGGAAAUAGAGUGGGGUGAGAACUAUCUUUCAUAGUUCCCAGUGGGCUUUGCCGCCGACUCCGUCGAUCUCCUCACUAGGUCCAAGUGGGCACAAGUAACAACGAGAUAGAUAGAUAUAUAUAUAUCAAAGCUGUAAAGACAUAAUAGAAAAACUAUGCUACUAUGCCCAUAAUCAUGUGUAAUGAAUGUAUGCAUCAUUUAGUAAAAGUUUGCUAUCAUGCUAACAAGUUCAAUCCAUGUUCGAUAAGCAACGUUCGAUGACAAUAUUAAUUUUUCAUUUACCCAAUCUGUGGCGAAACCCUUGGGUUUGCCUACGUCUCACAUAUCCAUCCCAUUGGGUAAGGAGACUCCAUGUGUCUCCGAACCCGGGACUGUCUGCGGACAUCCACUCUGGCCUAAUCGCCCGACACUCCGGAGUAUUCGACGACCAAUCCUCUCCAUGUGAGCAUAUGGAUGGCUUUACCAUCCGAAUAACAGACCGUGAGCUUGAUCUAUCUUCUCCACGUGAAGAUACCCUAGGAACUAGGGCCAACAUUCUCCCGGAACUCAUCUAUUCCGACAUUCAUGCACAAUUACUUAUCUAUACUAAGUUCAUUGUUCACGAGUCAUUUACUAGGAAAUCCACCUAUCCCUAAGUUCAUGAACCUCUAGUGUCAAGUACACUACAUAAUACCACUCGUUUUGUUCUUUAAACAUUUAGAUGCCACUCUCUAUGUCAUUAAAUAACCAUCGAGUUCAUCUCUUUCCUUUCGCACUAUAGGAUUCAUGUUCCGACCCAAUCCUUACCUAUCCAUUCAUUAAGUAUUCCAUGUACACUAGGUUAACAUUUAGAAGCAUAAGAAAAAGGUACUACCAUGCAAUCCUACAAUGCAACAUGCAAGAGAUGAGAUUAUAUGUUAUUUUAAGACAUAAUAGAGAGUUCGGUUGCUUCGGAAUGACACCCCCCACCUUUUGAGGGUAUGAAGGUUCUAGAAAUGCUUCUCGCCGAACGUUACGACGAGGUCUCGGCCUCCUUGGUCCAAAACGGCGCUCAAUCGGCUAUAUUUCGCCGAUAGCUUUUUACCCGCUUGACUAAUCGAAAAUCCGACUUCGCCCUCGCGUUUAGACACCUAGCAAUUAGGUUUAGAUGUCAACAAGUGAGAUCAAACCCAUUGUUUUCCAAAAACCCCAACUUGGGUGCCCUAGGGUUCACAUCUUGCAAUUUGUACUAUAGAACCCUAGCUUCUAGCUCUAUUCCACCAUUAAUAGUGCUAGAGGUCCAUUUGACCUCAUCUCAAAAGCUAAAAACCCAAAAAUCCUAAGUUCUACCAUUAGGGUUCAAGAGCUUACCUCUAGGUUAGCUCCAAUGGAGAGGAGAGGAAGAGGGAGAUGCUCCAAGCCUUCUCUAGCUUGCUCUCCUCCUUCUUCUUCUUCUCUUUUCCUUCUUCUCCUUCUUUUUCCUUUCUUCUCUUCCUUGAGAGAGAGAGGGAGAGCUAAGGGAGAGAGAGUGAGGCUGGAAAUGAAAGGGGGAGAGAGAGCCCUUUGCUCUCUAUACACUCCAACUAAGGCAUAAUUGUAGCCAAGCCCCUCAACUUUACUCCUCUCAAGUUACUCUGCCUGGGCAGAUUUCGCGCGGAGGGACCGGUCCUUCCCUGCCAGGGACUAGUCCCUGAGGACCUUCCCAAUUUCACGCGUACGGGAGCCGGUCCCUACCCGAGAGACCGAUCCCUUGGAGACCUGUCCUCCCGAUGAGGGGCCGGUCCCCGAGAGCCUUCUGCCUGGUUGCGCUUACGGGAACCGGUCCCUCUAGCCAGGGACCGGUUGCAUCAGCUGUCUGCCACAACCUCAGCUACGGGGACCGAUCCUUCCCUGCCAGGAACCGGUCCCCGAGAGCAGAACCUGCCAAAUGCAUAUUUUUUGCAUUUUUACUCUCGCGAACUCGACUCCAAAGCACUUUUGUGUUUUGGACAUCUCUAGCUUUUCCGAAGCCUACUCACUCGACAAUUAGUCGAUCCUGGACGAAGUAUAACUCUCGGAUUUUGAGAAUUCACUUCCCUUACAGGUGUUUCCAGUUAAUCCCGCACGUAAGGACGGGAAUACGCCUUAGGGUAGUGCCUCGCACGCUUCCGGAUCAAUCAAAUUAUUUAUUUGGAUUUUAGCACUUAUUUGUAAGUCUGAUUUUAUUUUUAUCACAAAAUUAGUUAGAUUUUUAAUUAUAAUCAGAUUUUCUAUGCGGUAUUUGUUCUAACAAUCUAAGGCGUAAAUCCCAAUCUGAUUGUGAUUAAAAAUCUAACAGUCUAACAAAUGCUAAUCCGUCUAAUUUUAUAUGCAUAUAAUUUACUUGUUAACUUGUUUGUAUGAUUGGCAAUCAAACAUAAAUUUUUCGGGAUUAGCAUUUUAACCUGUAAUUGCAUAUUAUUUAAUUUAUUAUUAACGUUACAAUUUAUUUGAUGAUUAUUUUUUUUAAAAAAAAAUUGCCUUUACUGUAGCUCUUUUUGGAAAAAAUAUAUAUAUUGUACGGACACUGUAUGGAUUUCAAAACUAUAUAUAUUGUUUUCACUGUUUUUCCUACAGGAUUUAAAAAAGAACAAAAAAUUGCUACAGUAAAAUUACUUUUAUAGUGUGCCGUUUUAGAGUUUUUGCUACAGCAAAAAACCCUUUGAAAAAAAAAAUAGUAAAUAUAUAUGUAUACAUACUGUCUUUUGCUAAACCCUCUUUGAAAAAGAGAAAAAAAAAAAAAAAAACUGACGUAGGUUUCUUAAAAGAUUUGGUACUAUGUAAGGACUGAGAUUUUAACUGUACAACUAAACUCUCUGUUGACGAUGUUUUUGUGUGUAAUUUAAUUACAAAAGUACUCGUCAAAUUUCAGGAGAAAUCGAGUUAAAACGGAGAUUCUACGCGAUUUCCAAGUUUCACUUAAAGUGAAUAGUAACUCGAUUUUCCGGAGAAGCCACGGUGUGAAGUUGGCUUUCAGCUCGUAUCGGACUCCGUUCCUAGCGGUCCAAUAGCUCGUUUCGACCGGUUCAGCUGUUCUGGAACUAAUGGCGCUGACGGAUUCUGAGUUUGACGCACGGAUUUUGAGAAAAUCCAAAAAUACGUGUUUUAUAUGUAUUUUGUGUGUAGUUUCUUCUGUUGGAGAGAAGGUCGGAUUUCGUCGUGAAUCCGCGACCGUUUGAGGUGAAAUGAAAUCGUAGAUCUAUUGUCUACGAGGUGCUGAUCGCACUGGUGCAAUCCGUUCGCAAAUCUGACGGACGGAUCUGCGGAGAUUGCGCGUUGAUCGAGGAGAGGUCGGUAUUGGCAAAUUGUAAUUUCGCAAAAGAUGCGACAUUUUAUGUACCGUUUUGCGUGGGAUCGCACGUGGAGGGGUAUUCUCGCGUUUUACACGCGCUGUGGAGGACUCGUUAUGAAAUUCUGAGUUUUGGAGGACUUACUUGCAAUUUGCACCUUAUGAUAUGUAGUGUAUCUAGGGUUUUUGUUCCCCUAACCCUAACCCUAGCCAUAACUGCACCCCAGCCACGUUCUUGCCUCCCUCUGACCUGGCCGCGCGCCUCCCGGCCGUCGCCGACCGGGUCCGGCCGGCCAGCCGCCGCAGCCGCACCAUAAUCCUCUCUCUCCUUCUCUCUUAUCUUGGGUCGUGAGGAAGCCCGAGAUUGCCGCCACCUCCAGACCCUCCGCCGGUGUCGCCCCGUGCUCCGGCGAGCAUCCCCGCCGACCGCCGCCGUCGCCAAGCGCCGCCGCGGCCGCUGAUGCACCCGGCUGCUGCCUAAGCCGAGCUUAGGUCGAGGAUAACUCGCGGCCUCCCCGCGCGUAGCCACCGCCUGCACCCGCUUCGGCCGCCGUCCCUGGACCCUCGGCGACCACCCCGGCGGGUCGCCGGCGCUCCUGCGAGCCGCUGCCGCCGCCGCGGCCACCCUGCAGCCAUCCCAGGUCUACUCGGACCGAGCAGACUUGGUAACUCCACCCCCGCGUCGCAGCCGCCUUGGUCCACUCCCGCGGCCUUCUCCUGCGUCCCACCGACCUUCCCGGUCGGUCGCAGCAGCCCUUCGGAUCGCCGCCACCGCCGCCCUGAACCUUGGGCGCCACCGCCCAGGUCUGCAGACCGAGCCUAGCUCGAGCGGCAACGCCCGAGCCGCGGGCCGCCGCCGCUGUCGCCCGCCGCCUUCCUCCUCCUCCUCCGACCUCUGUGGACCUGCCGCCGUCGUCCUCGAGGAGCCCCGGCCACCGCCGUGGCCGUAGCUUCGUUGGAACCCGAGCCCGAGCUCGUGCCGGCUCAAGUCUCUCCGCCGUCACUGCCGCCGCUCCCCGCCGCCAAAUGAGGUGAGCAUCGUGUUCCUCACCUCCCCCGCACCCAUCCCUGGCUCCCGCGCGCGCCGCCGUGCCGCCGGAAGCCGGCCGGAGCAACCUUGCUCCGGCCAAGCCCGAAAUAGGGCCUAUUUUAGAUGUUUUGCGUUCUGAGCUUCCCGAGCCUCCCCGAUCUCUGCGGAAGGGAGCACGAUGAUCAUAGCAAAUUGCUAAUCAUCGUGCUCACCUUAGAUUCUGUCGGGGAGACUCCGUUCAGCUGUUUCGGCAAUGUCGACCCUAUCGAGCCUGUUUGGCUGCUGUUUUGGGUUUGCGCACGCUUAUCCGGCUAUCCGAGGCUGUCCUGAUGCCUCCGGAGGUGAGCACGGUGAUCGUUGGUCAGUACUGAUCACAGUGCUCACCUCACUUUGGAUCAAUAGUGUCCGGUUAGCCCUGUUUGGCGCGAUCUUCCCUGACUGCGCGCUGUUCGCAGAACUUCGGGUUGCUCCCGCGCUUCCCACAGUGAGCCAUUGUGCUCCAGAUCGUGAGCACGGCCUCCAGUACGUCGAGACCUGUCAGUACGUGUCUCUGUAGACCUUGGAAGUCCUCGGUUUGCGUGAACGAGCCAUGUUAUCGUCCGAUUUACAUAAAAUGUUGGGAUUUUAUGUAAAUAUAGGGGCUUUUGUGCAAUUAUGCACCUUGUGGCUACUGUGGGCAGUGUGUAUGAGUGUGUUUGACCUCUGGACUGGUUGUCCAUGAUCUUGUAGCUUUCGCGGAAAUCGAAAAGUCGAUUCCGGCGCGUUUUUCGGCGAAAUUCGCCGAAAGAACGCGGUUUCGGUUCGAAUUUCUUCCGACGUCGUUUGGUUGCUCUGUGAGUGGUCGCUAAGCCUUGUUGGCUGGUCACCAUCAUCACUUUGUGGGUUCGGUGAUGAUGGGUGAGCGACGGUGGGUUCCGGUGUCGAAAUAGACACUUUCGGGAACCCGAAUUCGCACAAUUAUCCGGCGACAAUUGUGUAGGGGUGUUAUCUUGUGUUUACUACCAAAACAUCCAAACUGGAGUGUUUUGGGGCAGUAGGUGACUCGUGACACGAGUCGGUGAGUUUCGGGACACUUAGUGGGUCCCGACGGCGUCCCGGUGUGGUUUUCGGGACUUCCGGCGAGUUACGGUAAUCGGUAUUGGGAAACCGAUCUCCGUGGGAUUGUUUGUGGGUUAUGCUUUUAGAGUCUCUUAGUUGUGGGUUAGACACUAACCCAGUGGACCCCCCUUAGGUCCUGUUGACGUUCUUUUGCAGUCAGGAGACAGGCGCGACAGUUGUACAGGUGGGUACUUCGAUCCGACGUCGGUACAGUGGUGCACGCUCGGUGAUGGUUUCUUACCCUUGCUCUUUCGUUAUUAUCUAGCAUAUAUAUAUCUUGAUAUAUAGUGUUGAGCCUAGCACCAUGUUGUUUAGUUACACUCUACUCGGUUGUUCUCUUUAUAUCAUGAGUAGGAGUAGAGUAGUUAUACCAUAUUUCUUUAUUGCUCUACUUAGCUAUUCUGCAUAUCCUGUAUCAUGUUUAGAGUAGAGCGGUUUCGUGAUUUUAUGUGAAAUCGGUGACCUAGUUGAUUCGUUCUUGUAUCUUAUAUCUGUAUAUAGUCGGUUUGUUCCUUGACUCUUGUUGUUUGAUGACCUUUGAGGUCGGUGUACCCUGAGGGGUAGGAUUGUCGACUAGUGGCCGACGGUAGUUCUAGAUCAUAUACUCAGAUGACUUGUUGACCGAUUCUUGCAUAUAUACAGUAGUUGACUCAUUGAUCAGUAUCUACAUACUGUGGGUAGGAUGUUGAGUUGUUCCAUCCCAGUUGACUUGAUUAGUCAGUAUUUGCAUAUGUUUGAGAGGAUGUCGAUGUUGUCCCAUCCUAGUUGACCUGAGUGGUCGGUUCUUGUGCUUCUUUACAGUUGAUGACCUAUGCGGUCGAUAGGCCCUGGGGGGCAGGAUUGUCGGCUGGUUGCCGACGGUUGAUCAUUGACCAUAUUGCAUUGAUCGCCCGAUACUCGUCGCAUUUCACGAACACUGGCGGUCUGAUCCACCGCAAGGAGUGUUCUUUUCCGGAAAAGUGGUUGAAUGGUGACAACCCGUGAGCCCUAGAGGGGUUAUAUGCAUGUUAGAGCGGCAGUGGUACUGUCGGGAGGUGUUGCGGUGCGGACCUCCAGGGCAUUGGCUUGAGGUCUGCGGUGCUGACCAAGAGAGCAUUGGUUUCAGAUUGGGUACUUUUGGACUGAUUGUCCCAUUGACGCAUAUGUUUAUAGUAGCAGUCGUUGCAUGCAUACUUACAGAUCUUACUUUAUAGUUGUCUUGCUACUAUAGUAGAUAUUCAUGUAUGCUUUCUGUUCCAGUUACAGUAGCGGUAGCCGUUUAUUCAGUAUAGUUCUUACUUCCUUUCAGUUUAUCGCUAUUGUAUAUCUGCUCAUUACCUUGUUUAUUUCCACUGACCCAUGUUGUUGUAUAGUUCUUCCUGAUCCGGUGAGUACUCCUCGCCUUCUUCGGCUUGCGGUACCCACUGGGAGGGGAGACAUGUUUACAUGUUCUCACCUCCCCCACCAUUUUUCAGGUAUCGCGGGCGUUGAGUAGUGGGACGAGACGUGAGGUACGUGUGUAGCGGUCGAUAGAGCUUCCGACCCAGGUUAUUUCGAUUUAGCUAUUACCCUUUUUAUUUCUGUGGAUAUUUAUAGCUUAGUCGGUCUACAUGGUUCAGUUUUGUUUUAUUAUUUGAAUAUCUGAGUUUUCAGUUGGUUUUGGAAUGUAAUAAAGGAAUUGUGUUUACUUGAAAUAAAAGGUUUUCUACCCCUCGCGGUAGCGUUUUUAAAGAAUAAAGGUUUCCGUAUAGGAAACAGUUUUCAAAAGGUUUUCUGUGGAUUUUGCAUCUUAGUAUUUCAAAACCUGUUUCUGUGGUUGGAAACAUUUUAACUGAUAGAUGUGGAUUUAUGUUUAAAUAUCGAUUAUAUAAAUGUGAACCUAUGAUGUGAAUGGUGUAUGAAUAUAUAAUUGUUGGUUAUUUGUAUGUUCAUCUGGUUGUGGUUGUAUCUGGGUUACUUCUUGUAUUUGUGUGACGCCGUACAAAUACAGGGGAGACUCUGUCCGUGUGAACAGUGGAAUGCCUGUGUUUGUGGCGGAUCUGGCAUACUCUGGGGUCAGGCUUUUCAAAAAAAAAAAAGAAAGAAAUUCAGACGCUUUUCCGCUAUGUUUUAAACUAAAAGGGACCCCGGGGCGUGACAUACUAUACGAAGUUAUCUAAUUUUUUUUUAAAAAGGAUUUAAUUUCUUUAAGCUUUAACAUUAUUGUUUCUAUAUUCGUUUUGUAGUGGGAUUUGAACCCACAGGAGAGUGCAUCAAACCCCUGAAGUAGGGACUUUCAAACUUGGAACAACACUUCUAUUUCUUACUUUAAUUAUCACUUCUAACAAUUAUAUAUUGUAUACAUUGCUAACAAUAUAGUUGUUUGAUUGCAUCAAUAAUUUACUCAAAGUUAUCUAAUUAAAAUCAAACUUUUAAAAUUAUUUGGAUCAUCUAUUUGCUAUUUAACCAAACUCUAUUAAACAUGAUUAAAUUUCAUGAUUUUAAAUUCUAGUGUACCUUAGAACUUGAGGGGGAGCUCUUUUAUCAGACUGAUAAAUUUUGAUAUUAUAUUUGCUCUAAUGAUUUCAUUUUUCUAAUGUUUAGCUUGUAAAUGAAAUUGGUAAAUUCUAAAAUUAAUAGACAUAUUAAAUUAAGACAGAAGUCUGCUAGAUGGCUAACCUCUCAUGAUAUUGUUUCUUUGAGUUUUAUCAGAUCUGAUCAGAAUCUUGCAGAUUGCUUGACGAAAGGCCUGAAUAGGAUUAAGGUCCUGGAGUCAUCGAGGGGGAUGGGAUUUUGCCCGUAAAGGGCCUUCCUGCAGUGGGAACCCAACUUUUGUGAUAGGAGAUCCCUUUAAUAAUGUUCAAUGUGGUAAAAACAAGCUGUCAGGUUGGCCAAAGAGCACCUUCUACAUUUUAUAUAGAGGAGUUUUAGCUCCAAUCCCAUUCCUAUGGUAAGUAGCGCUCUGUGUAGUGGAUUAGGUUGAGCUUAUAGCUCUUAAUGGGAUCCGAGGCGGUAAUUUUCACAAGAUGUGACUCUACACACAUCUCGGGAGAAAACUACCUAUAUAAGAGUAUCCGUAUGUGGCCGCGUCUAUGAGAUAUGGGCUGUCCAUAGAAGCUCUUAUGAAAAAUCAAGGUACUAUGCAUGGCCAUUAACGCACAGACCCGUGACGGAGAAUUCUAUACUGUGUGUGUGGUAGUUGAAGUCAGGGCCAAAGUGACGUAGUUCAAGACCUGGUUCACUCCGAUUCCUUCUGAUGGAAACUAUUUACAUUAAGUGAGGUUAAGUCUCUUAAAGACACCUUACCUAUUGUAUAGUAUAAACACCCGAUGAUUUAUUCAUCUUUUUGAGUUUAAUUCUUAUUUCGAAAUUUUGAAUUUUGUGGGGGAUUGUUGGAGAAAAUCCAAUAAUUUCUCAAUUACUAUUAUUAUUCUUUUAUUUUAUUAAUUCUUUUAUUCUCAUUUAUUAGUAUUUAUUGUUAUUUAUUUUAAUUAAUGAGAUGGAUUAAUUAGGUGGAAACGGUUUCCACUAUUGGAAUCCGUUGAGGAUUCCAAUGUUCAACCCAUUCUCUUUAUAAAUUAGAUUAUUCUGUUCAUGAUAUAUGAAUAUUGUAGAGAGAAGUAAAAGAGAUGAAAUUUUAUUUGUUUAAUAUUUUUAUCAUCGGGUGUUGCAAGAGUCUUCGUUAACCUCUCCUGCGUUCGUGCUCUUAGGAGGAGGAAUUCCGGUCGUACCUUGGGGUGGUGCUUCCGGUUAAUCCCGCACGUAAGCCGUAAGGACGGGAAUACGCCUUAGGGUAGUGCCACGCACGCUUCCGGAUCAAUCAAAUUAUUUAUUUGGAUUUUAGCGUUUAUUUGUAAGUCUGAUUUUAUCUUUAUCAAAAAAUUAGUUAGAUUUUUAAUCAUAAUCAGAUUUUCUAUGCGGUAUUUGUUCUAACAUAUAUAACCAAACAACCUCUAAAAGAAGCUCCUUUUCGUUCUGUCAUUAAUUUUUUGUCGAGAUGCCAACGAGUUGAAUUUGAAAUGAGUUUUCAAUAAUUUAAACCUAAAUCUGACUAUCGAAUCUGAAAUUUGAAUCUGAACCUAUAAAAUUGUCGGAUUUUAAAUUCAUAACUGAACCUGAACUUGACAUAAAAAUCGAAAUUCAAAUCCGAACUACAAAAACAUGAACCCGAAAACAAUCAUUUUUGUUUUCUAAUUUCCAAACAUAUUAUACUCAAAUUUAAAUUUUCAAAAUAAAAAAAACUAUCACAUUUGAAAAAAGUUAUAAAUAAUUAAUUUUUAAUAUAUUAUAUAACAUAAAGUUGGUUCAUGUUUGGGUUCAGUUUGAAUUCAGGUUUGGGUUUGGGUUUGGAUCCGGUAUAGAUAAAAACCAUAUACCAACACGAGUCUAUUGAUUUUUUAUUUUUUAUACCCAUAAUUGAAACCAGCUUGUUAACCAUCUGGGUAAACCCACUCCGGUUGGGUCCCAGUUCAGGCAAAAUAUUGGAUAUCCAUAUCCGUUGACAUCCCUAAUUCUAUGGGUAAACUUUGAUUUACCCUUUGUGGUUUAAUUCAUUUAUAAUUUAUUAUUUUAAAUUUUAAAAAGUUACAUUUAAUUAUUGUGUAGUUUUUUUUUUUUUUUUGUUUUAACCAUAAAGAACUUGUAUUAAUCUGGAUAGCUAGGUACGCAAAUCGAUCCAGUUUGGUGGUCUCCUAGCCAGAUCCACAUCGAAUAGGAUAGUAAAUAAGAGAUAAUAAAUUGAUUCGAGACAAAUUCAGGAAAUUUUUAAAAUUUUGAAAAAUUAGAUUAACUGAAUAAAUUCGGAAAGCAGUAGGCUUCGUCUGUAAAAUGGAACAGUUUUUAGUGAAAUGAAAAUUGCCACCCUCAAGGUCUGGUAGGAAGUCAUGGUGAGGCUCGUUUUUAGAUUAUGCGUGAUAAAAGCGCAGUUUAAAGAGGUUUACGACAAGUGAUCAAUAUAUAGGGUAGAAAUGGGUAUUUUGGUCAACGGUGCGACAUUUUAUGCGUCGAAUUAUAUGAAAGUCUAUAGAAAGGUGUUGGUCAAAAUACACACACAAUGAGUUUUUGAUACGAAACUCAAAGGUUGGAGGGUUAAAUUAUAAUUUUUGCAAACUCAAAAAACGGAGCACUUGGCAAAGAGGCUAUUAUUUUUUGGCUAAAUUACAGAAAACCCCCCUGUAAUAACCCGCUUUUUCACUUUCCCCCCUGACAUUUAAAAACCUACACUUUGCCCCCUUGUAAAAUGAAAAAUGUUCACGGGGGGGUCACGGUGUGUAAAAUGACCAUUUUGCCCCUCGCCAUUGUUGUCUUCUUCCUGAGCUUCCUCAGCCGCCCCUUCGAUCCACCGCUAUUUCCACCUCAAUCGGCCACGAUUCCUCUCCAAUUUCUUCUCCACCUGCUCCCCUUCUCCUCCUACACCGUCGCCGCCCAUCGAUUUCGGCGACAGUAGGGAGGAUACUAAGAUGGGUGUUGAUGGAGAGGUAGGCAGAGACAACGAGGGCGAAGGCGAGGCGGCGGAGGAGGACGAAAGGGAUGUGGGCGAGGGCGAAGCAGUGGAGGACGGCGAGGCGGCGAGGCGGCGAAGCGGCGAGCCGGAUGGAGCGAAGCAUCAGAGAAGAGGCAGAGGGGUAUUUUCGGUAUAAAAAAAUAUUUUUUAACAGAACCCCUAACGGAACCCUCACGGUAGGGGUGAAGUGCACAUUUUUUAUUUUACAAGGGGGCGAAGUGUAGGUUUUUAAAUGUCAGGGGGGGAAAGUGAAAAAGCGGGUUAUUACAGGGGGGUUUUCUGUAAUUUAGCCUUAUUUUUUUAUAAAAAAAAUUUAUAGUUUUGGCAAGCAGGGAGGAUCAAUGUGAAAAUAGACUUGGAGACGUUUGCGUGAAACUAAGUUUCACGAAAUCCGAGAGUUUAUGUGUGUUGAUGCCAAAAAAUUAGGCGAGAACGAUUGAGAAGUGGGGCGUAACUUCCAUAAUUAUGGUUACACCACUCCCCCACUACUAAAAACCGACCAAUAAUAUGGGCUGAGAAGACAUCACUAUAAAUAGUAACUUCGAAGCCUGUAAUAGGAGUCUUUCUCUCCCAUGAACGAGAAGACUACCGCAUUUUUAAUAUUUUUACUUUCUGCAUUUUUCUCGCAUUUUCUAGGAGUAGUCUACUUGUAAUCUUUUACUUUCCCGCACUUACUAUAUGCCCUCAGACACACUCGUCCUUUGUACUAGUUUCACAUAUUAAUUCCAAUAUAUAAAGGCAUUCGGCUCUUAAGCUGACCCAAAACACUGUGCUUUUCGUACAUUUGGCUCUUUCAGUCAAACUGAGUCUAUAGUAAAGGUCUUUGAACUUGGCUGAUCCAAUCCCUCCUCAGCCGAAUCGCUUGAUCCAGUCGAAGGGCGCAAACUUUAAGGGUCUUUAUUCGUAGCUGUUUCGCAUCCCUACACUCCUCCCGAGAGAGAUCUUUGACCGGGUCGAAGACCAGGGAAUUCGGCUCCUAACAAUUUUUGGCAUGCCCGGUGGGACAAAUUUUGGUAAAUUUCUUCUAUUUCAGAAAUUAUGGCAGAUAAUAAUGCCAUGAAUUUGCAUAAUAGAGUCGUUCCUCGAAAUUCCGGGAACGACCAUGCGAGCAAUUCUGGUAAUGUAGGUGAGCGCCAAGCAGUCUUACCAGUCGAAGGCGAGACUAGUGGUCAAUCUGACCAACAAGAACUAAGCUUGGCUCAAGCGCUUGGACAAAUGACACGGGCCCUACAAGUAUUGGACCAGAAUAGCCAUAGGAGUACUGUCACGCCCCGAGACCGCUACCGAUUUGGUCCGGUUCGGGCGCGUCGAACAGACGCCAAACGGACAACACCUCCCCUGUCCGCCCAAGGCUAAACAACCAAAUCGUGUACAAGAAUUUGCCCAGGAAAUGAAAUUCUAUACAUACACAAUCAACAAAGGGCACGACAAGUGCCAACAUCUAAGAGCAAGAAUCACAUGUACAUACAAGUGAAUAAAGAGAGAUCUACUAGCUAUUACAUAUAACGUUGCAUUCAUUUACCUCGAGUUACAUUUACAUCCUUUCCAAAAUGAAUACAUGGUUUACUAGAUAACCACCAAAAUACAUCCAUAGCUCUCCAAAUCCUCACCUACAUAAUUCACUCAUAUACAUAGGGUGAUGCUAAUGCAAAAAGGAAAGCUACUACGCUACUGCUCGGGCGCUAUACCCUUGCCACAGUCCUCGCACGGCGCGCUCGAACUAGGCCUUGCAACAAAGUGGGGUGAGAACUAUUGUCCAUAGUUUCCAGUGGGUUCUGCCGCAGAGUCCGCCGAUCUCCCCACUAGGUCCGAGUGGGCAAAAGCAGAUAUAUAGAUAGAUAGAUAAUGAAAGCAGUAAACGACACAGUAGGAAAACUAUGCUACUUUGCCCAAUCAAGAGUAAUGUAUGCAUGCAUCAUAUAGUAAAUGGUUUACUAACAUGCCACUAUGUCCACUACAAUGUCCAAUAAGCAAAUGUUCAAUGACAGUGCUGUUCUCUUGUUUAUCCAAUCUUUGGCGAUCCCUUGGGUUCACCCACGACUCACCUCGCCAUCCCGUAUUGUAAGGAGACUCACCUCGCUCUCAAACCCGGGACAAUCUGCGGGACAUCAACUCUGCCCCUCUCGUACCAUACUCCGGAGUGCACGACGACUUGUGUGGCGCGACCACUACAAGUAUAAAUAGACUCUGAGCUUAAUCCAUCCUCUCAACUCAAGGAUACCCUAUCAACUAGGGCUAGAAAUCACUCGGGAAUCCACCUAUCCUAAUGUCCAUGUGUAAGUGUUUAACUACACUAUGUUCUUGUUCAACGAGUCAUCACUAGGGAGUCCAUCUAUCCCUAAGUUCACAAACCACUAGUGUCACUUUGCACUAAAUUAGAUGCUACUUGUUCUGUUCAUUUGUCAACCACAUGCCACUCAUUAUGUCACUAGAAACCAUCGAGUCCAUCUCAUUUUCUCGGCACUGUAGGAUUCAAUGUCAUGACCCAAUCCUUACCUAUCCAUAAUACCAAGCAUUCAACUCACACUAUGAUAUCAAUUAGAAAGCAUAAAGAAUGGAAAACAAUGCAAUCCUACAAUGCAACAUGCAAAAGAUGCGAGAUCAUGGUAUACUAAGACAUAGAGAGGAACCCGGUUGCUUUGGGAUGACACCACCCACCUUUCGCCAAUGUCAAGGUGCUAAGAACGCUAUUCGGCACUUGCUUCAACGUCGCUUCGACCUGCUAGGUGGAAACGAAGCUCCAUCGGUCUUGUUUUGCCGAUAACUUUUCACCGGCUCGACGAAUGCUCAAUCCGUCUUCGCCAACGCGUUUAGACACCUAACAAUUAGGUUUAGAGGCCAUCAAUUGAGAUCAAAACUCACUAUUUAACAAAACCCCAAUUUGGAGCCCUAGGUUUGCAUCUAUGCAAACAACUCCAACAAAUCCCUAGAUUCUAGCAUUAAUCAACUAUUAAGCAUGCUAGAACUCUAAUCAAACCAUUUCUAGAGCUUUCAAUCCAAACCCUAGGUUUCUACCAUUGUAGGGCUCAAGAGCUUACCUUCAAGCUUGCUCUAAUGGUGAGGAGAGGAAGAAGAGGAUAACCAAAGUCCUUCUCCUAGCUUGCUUCCCUUCUUCUCAUUCCUUUCCUUCUUCUCUUUUUUCUUCUCCUUCUUCACUUCAAGAGAGAGGGAGAAAAGAGCUUAGAGAGAGAGAGGGAUGUGUUUGGGUGUGGGAAUGAGAGGGAGAGAGAGUGAUCCCCCCUCUACACCCCUCACUAAUGCCACAAUUGCAAUAAAACCCCUCAACUUUACUUCUCUCACAUAGCCCAAACUGGGCAAAUUUCAUGCUCAGGGACCGGUCUGUCCCUAAAAGGACCGGUCCCUGAGAGUCUCCCUUGCAGGCAGAGGACUCUGCCCAGCAUCCUAAGCACACGGGGACCGGUCUUCCCCGCCAGGGACCGGUCCCCAAGAGCAGAACUCUCAGGACUUAGCCAAAUUUUCCUUGCUUUCGAUGGUUGCGCAUACGGGGACCGGUCUCUCCCGCUAGGGACCGGUCCCCGAGAGCAAUACUUGUGCGCAGAGAUUUUCUGCCGCACACAAUGCUUACGAGAACCGGUCCCUCAUACCAGGGACCGAUCCUCGAGAGCAAAAUCUGCCAAGUGCAGAUUUUUGCACAGCUUGCUCUCGUGGAUCCGUUGCAAUGCUUUUUUUGGGUUUCUGACUUCUUCGGCCUUUCCGAAGCAUACCCACUCGACAAUUAGUCGAUUCUGAGCGAAGUCCAACUCUCGAAUUCUGAGAAUUCACUUCCUUACAAGUACUGCUCGAUUAGACGCCGUUUUGGCUGCAAUUACGGCCUCUCAUAAGAAUAUUACCCGAAUAGGGCAAUUAUUGACUCGAAACGAGCAGCCUGUAACAGGUCUACAAGGACCUGUAGUUGCACCGGUAUUACAAAAUCCUGUAACACCGGUGAAUAGUCAACCUCAACACCAGGGGGCACUUUUCAAGCGGCUUAUAGACUGGCUGGUGUAAAUGUCGAUCAACAAUCGGAGAUAGCCUGGGGGUUACCUCCUCCACCGCCAUUGGCAAUAUAUCAGCUCUAAAAUGUAGGGGCUAGGGCAGGGGGGCAAGCCCCGAAUAUGCAGGGGGUUAACCCGGCAGCGUAGAAUUUCGGGUUACCACUAGGACCAAAUCCAGUUCAAGCACAGGUACCUGUUCCCUUACAAGGAAAUAACAAUGAAAUCUAUGCUCAAAUUGAAGAAGCCAUCCGAAAUACUUUCGUAGUUGGAGCAGGGCCGGCAAUGCGGCCUGUAUUUAGAUCACCUUACCCUGCAAAUAUAGAUAUAGAACAUCUCUAUCCGGCAAAUUAAAAAAUACGAAAAUUUGAUAAAUUUUCUGGAGACGAGACCGAAAAUACGGUCGAGCACGUCGUGCGGUUAACGGCUCAAUGUCGAGAAGCCGCUGCAAAUCCUUUUCUGAAGCUCAGGUUGUUUAAUACUUCGUUAACUUAACCAAGACUGCAUUCACUUGGUAUAAAAGUCUACCGACCAAUUCUAUUCGAGAUUGGGACAAAUUGCAAAGCAAAUUUCAUGAACAGUUUUACAAAUCAGAGCUGGAAUUUUCGGUUGCUGAUCUAGCUCAGUUCAGGCAAAGAACAGGAGAAUCGAUUGAAGAAUGUUUGAACCGAUUCAAAUAUUCUGCAGUAAAGGUCUUCGAACUCGGCUGAUCCAAUCCCUUCUCAGCCGAAUCGCUUAAUCCAGUUGAAAGGUGCAAACUUUGAGGAUCAUUAUUUGUAGCCGUUCCGCAUCCCUACACUCUUCCCGAGAGAGAUCUUUGACCAGGUCAAAGACCAAGGAAUUCGGCUCCUAACAAUGUGCAAAAUGGCAUAGGUUUAAAGUCAGAUAGAAUUUAUGAUCAUAUGGUUUUUAGGUAAUGUGAUAUUUCAUGUACAAAGCACCACGAAAUGGUGUUGGGAGGACUAAUGCACAAAAUAAACAUGGUGGUAAGGGGACUGAGACAAGAAUACUGUAUUUUGUGGGAUUAACUUGCAUCUUUGCUUAUAUAUAUAGAUAAAUGCAUAUAUACAUACACGUAUAUAUAUGCAUAGUGAGGGAAUAGAAACCCUAACCCUGUGCUCCCCUUCCCUUAUCACAGUGCUGCCGGCCACCCCUCCAGCUAGGAUUUUGCCCAGCAAGGUUCUCUUUUUCUAUCUCUCUCGAUCUCUAGUACACACACACACACACACACACACACACACACACAGAUCUCCUUCUCGGAUUCUCUUUGCUCUUGGGCUGGCUGCAGUCACGGCGGGUCUGGCGACACGCCUCGCCGUCGCCAACGUUGCCCUAACCACUUUUGCUCAAUGUCUUAGCCAAGCUCAAGCUGGAGAGCUCGAGUAGAUCAUUCCAGAUCCGCCGUUGCCCUGCUGCUCCCAUGUCUCAACCACUGCACUCAAGGCCUCUUCCUAUCAAGGCCGAUCUCUUUGGGUCUGGGCGGCCCAAGUGCACUGCCCCUUGGGCCGCACAUGAAGUUGAGGAUGGAGGCUGCAUGCUGUUCUUUGUUGGUCUCAAACUAGGGUUUUCCUGGCCGAGCUCUUUGGUUUGGCUCAUCUGGUCCCCAAUGACAUUUCGACGGUGGAGCACGGUGCUCUCCAGUAUGAGUACAUCGUCUUGCUCAUCUCGGUUGCUGUCGGAAAGGCUUCCAAGGGCUAUUUUAAUGAUGUCAUGCCCGGAGGCCUCGAAACCAACGGUUAAGGUGCUCCAACUUCCUUCUCGGUCUUCGGUUGUGCUUCGGCUAGCAAGCAUGGAGUUCGGGAUGUCAAAACCUUUCGGACAACAUCAUUGGUUAGAUUUCGACAUCGCAGAACCAAUGGUAAGGCUCUAUACACUAUGUUUGUUUUAUUAUUUAUUACGCACCAGGUGUUUGUUGAAAUGCCUCUUUGAUAACUUCUGCAUCAUUGUUGUUUGGGACGGUAUUGUUUUGGUAGAGUAUGUUCGAACUUGAUGCCUAAGGCUUAGGAAUCCCUCAAUUCGGGAUUUAGGAUGAUCGACACAGAAUGUUCAAGGCCUAGUAAUCUCUCAAGUUGGAUUUCAAGGCGUGUGGCAUGGAAAUAGAGGUUUAAGUAUAUUACAUUGGUGAUUUUGGCUCCGAUAUUGUAGAGUCGAUUUUGUUGCUAGUUGCAAAAUGAAAAAGCUUUGUUGGCUAGUAGGAGACUCACUGGUGCAAAGCAUGGACCAUCAAGUGAUCGUAAAUAGGUUCAGGAGCCAAAAAGACAAUUUCUGGAAAAUCGGUACGACUUGCUUUAAGGUUUUCACACCUGUCUCUCACAAUUAGCGUGCGGCUAUCUUGACAUCCAAAAGUGAGUGUUUUAGGACAACAAGGAAGGUUGGGUGACUUUUGGAGUGUUUUAUGAAACACUUCGGGGCUGAACCAGAUCCUAAAGCUCGAAAAUCGGUCCAUUUCGGGGGUGGUUUAGUGUCGCGCGGGUUGCUGCUAUUCGUAGCAGUGUGUUAGCCUUAUGGGUUGGUCAUUAAGUGAGGUUCAACACCUUUAGUUGUAGUAAGAGAGCUGUGGGUGGUUAUGGUGCCGAAAUUUCGGUGUUCCAAUUUCUCAUUUUGGCGCACUUUUCAUGCUAUUGUCCUAACGACAUAAAAUUAAUGUUUUGGGAUGGAGUGUGUGACAGGCUAGGCAGCGGCAUGUUUUAGGAUACUUUGUAGGCUGGGGUGGUGUUUUGGCAAGCCAACGCAAUGAUUGGGCAAGUUUUCAAUGACUAUUUAUCGUGAUCCGAAAUUCCAAUCGUACGUCUAUUAGAAUUCAUGAUUUGAAUCAUGGGUUAGAAAUUAGCGAGUUUGGGCUAAUUACGGGUUGGGUUGAACUUUAUAUAGGUUUGGGGAGUAGAAUGAGGCACCAUUUGGGGGUUGACAACCAAAGUUUUGUUCACGAUAGAGGUGGGUGCUUCAAGCUGGUAGUCGAUGAGGUAGUAUUUACUCGAUUUUCUAUUUCUUUGCUCAUGAUUAAAUUACUUUAAGGCAUUCAUUUCCUUUUUACUCUACUUGUCGACUUGUUAGUUUUCUUUAUUAUGGCAUAUUUAUUACUAUCUUGUAUAGUGGUAGCUAGAUGGUUACUUGACAUAUAGAGUAGGCUUCUAUACUCCUUGACUAUCUGGGGUAUCGUAGGUCCAAGCAACAUGGCACCUUUCAAUUUCAUAAUGAUUCGAUUUUUUUAUCAUGGAUUUUGGUGUCUAUACACAACGGCAUUGGCUUCGGCUCUUGUAUCAGCUUUCUUUGCUGAAGAUUACUUGACCAUUUCAUAUGAUUGGUGACUACACUUGGGUGUAUUUAUAGAUAUCGUGUUGGUUUGGCUACCGACGAGGGGUGCACUAAUCCUGAUAGGUCGUUCAUUGUGACAAAUUGACUAGGUCAGUGCAUUGUAGUGAUAGGCACUGCCUGAAAUCGAUGGACCAAUACAACAGGUUCUGAGUUGGGUUCUAGAUUGGACAUUUCAUCCUCGAGGCAUAUUAGUUAGAUGGUUUUUCUUUUUUAGUGGAGGUUUCCCAUCAUAUGUCCUAUUCAUAUGCACGUCUUGCUACUGUAGGCAUUAUUUCCAUCUGAUCACAUGGUAGUUUGUGGAUUAGGUAUGUGCAUUGGACUAUCUGUCCUCUGAGCCAUGUAGUUGGAUAGAUUUCAUUGCAAUAACGACAUUCUGGCUUUACUUUCAUAUACACAUAUUGUCACGCCCAGCCCCGAGCAGAAGCCUACCCAGUACGCACAUAGACCCGUCGUAUGCCUAGUGCAUACUAGGCGUCUACGAUAAACAUGAUGGAAAUAACACAAAGAGUUAGGAACAUCUAACAUGAUAUCAGAGCAUACAAUAUAAUCUACUCUCUAAUAACAAGUAAUGAAAGGUAAGACAACUAUCAUAAACAUCUUCAAAGCACAAAUACAUCCAAGUAGCCAAAAGCACAACUACUAAUACAAUAUAGUCUCUAUACAUCAUGGACAUAAACAUCUUCCCAACUAACAUAAAAAAGAGAGGUGACCACCUAACAAGAACUCCGAGCUAUGUCAAGCUAGACGCGACCCCCUUGCCGCGAUCCCUAGCCUCUCCCGCUGUGGAUGACUCUGUAAACAAAAACAACAACACAAUGAGAAUGAGAACUAUUAGUCACUAGGUUUCAGUGGGUAAGCCGCCGACAUCAGCGAAUUACACCACUAGCUCACUGACACAUUAGUAAGUAUGUAUAACUAAUGUCAUAACAUGAAUAUUGAACAGGAAAUAAACUACUAGUACUACUAUGCCUCCACAUGCACUUGAUAUACAACAAGUAUAAAAACUACUCUAAUAAGAGUAAGCAUGCUAAUGUCAUGUCCACGAAUAUACACUAUCUAGCUAGUAGUGAUAGUUAAUUAAUCUAUUUGGUUCUCUUUACCCAAUUUACAAGGACCUACACAUGUGUAAUCUAGCUUGCGCCGUGCCUAAUGGCCUAGUGGUAGUAAACACUCCCCACGGAAACUUCGGCGCCCAAUCCCACAUGGGCGAGCAUGAUGUCAUGUAGGCCAACUCCGGAGUGCUGGCUUAUGGGGAGCGACCCUCACAAGCUUGUGCGAAUGAGCAAAUUUGCAACCAAGCAUGAUCCACAAUAGAAAGCUCUCGAUCGUCAUGUUUAAAACAUGGUAUGUCUUCUAACGACCCAUAGGUCGGAGUCUAUGUCAUAAUGUCAAGUUCUAGUCAUUUAACUAAGUCAUAUACAACAACAUUAAGUUCAUGCUGCUUGUUAUCAUAUAAAUGCCAUUUUCAACUUGUCUAUACAAGUAUUCUACAUGUUAUGUAAAGUAUGCUUCACAAGUUUAAUGAACCACACUCUCUACUACAUAGAGAUAUGACUAUGCCAUAUGUUAUAUGUAUAGCUAAUACAUCCAAAACUUCACUUAUAAUGCAUCUAACAUGAGUAUGCAUGAUUUCCAAUUUCACAAUAUUAACAAAGAUAUAGGGGGAGUUCAUCCAUUUCGGUGAGGUCAAACCCACCAGAUACUCCUCGGACUCUUUUGUUUGCUCGAACUAAGAUGCCUUCUAGCCUUCUAGCACUCUAACAAUAAUUCUAAAUGAAUUAGGAGCUUCUAAUAAGCCUCCCACAAAAUUUGUCCAAAAUUCAAUCCAAAAAUAGGUAGAAAAUACCUUAAAUAGAGAAGAACACUUUUCCACACUCCACUUGAGGUUGGGAUGCUUCAAUUCCAACCUAAAAGAGAGUUUAACCACCACCAAUUAAGUUUUAAAAGCUCAUCUAAGAAUAAUCCCAAAAGUAAGCUCCAAUUCUAUCAAUACAACCAAAAUCACAUAUAAGGUAGUAAAUAAGAAGCUAACCUUUCAAAAGCCCCAAACCAAACCAACCUUGAGCUAGGGUUGGAGGUUUAUCCUCAGAAAUACCCCCCUCUUCACUUCCACAACUCCAAAUACCACAAAACAAACCUCCAUAGAGAAAGAAAGGAAAAGAAGAUUAAUUCCAUCAAUUUCAUCAAUUUCCACCAAAAAAAUUGAAAAGAAAUCUAGAAAGAGAAAGAGAAGAGCUCACCGGCUAUUUUUCCAAGCUCCAGCACAAAGAUAAGCUAGCUGGGGUCGGUUGGGGGAUAAACAAGCUGCACAAUUACCAAAAGACCCCUUAACAACUCAAAAAAAAAAAAUCUGCCGCAUUGAGUACUGGUACUCAUAUUGGAGUACCGAUACCCGGUACUCAGACAUGCAAAACCAGAGCGUGAGAACCUUCGGGUUUAGUGCCAUGUACCGGUACCAGCUCGAUGCAGUACCGAUACUCAACCCAGUACCGGUACUCACCGACUCAGUACCGGUACUCAACACCCAACUUCUCAAAUCCGGGAGCAACCUAUUCUAGCAACCCCCAGGGGUACCGGUACCCUACUCAACCGGUACUCAACACUCAAAACCCUGCAGUUUGCAGAUUUUAGUGUCAGUAAUCCAAUCUCGCACUCAUAAAACUUAAGUCAGGUGUCGGUACACUACCGACAACCCUCCAAACAGUUAGAAUAGUUUUAAAUACUAUUCUUACAUUGGAACAUUACAAUUUGCUAAAGUUCAGUGUACUACACAUAUAUCUUGCGACUAUACAUUUUAUUCUCAUAUUCAUUAUAUCUAUCUACAUCUCUCUAUUAUAUUAUUUUUGGUGAAUAAGGUUUGCUUUUGUGGCUCUGUCAUGCCUACUAAGAAAUCUUAGGUCGGUUUCUCACCCCGCAUUUUUCGACAGGUGGUAUGAGUAGGGAGGUAGGUCAGAGUGCAGUAUGAGGUAUCUCGAUAUAGCUAGUUUGCACUAGUGGUCCCUUAUGGGUUCAUUAUCUCUUACCACUAUUCCUUAAUUGCUUAAUAAAUAGACAUUAAUGGUAGUUCAGCUAGACUAUUAAUGAAUGAAAGUUUGUUUUCUAAUUAUCUAUAUAUAUACUUUGUGAAAUGUCCCGAAGGGUUGGCAAUCGAAAUGACUAUAGUAGCAUUAGCUGAUUGACAUAUCUGUAGAGUGUCGGGAUGAGUCAAAGUCAUUUUGAAGCAAAAUGGAUGCAAAAUCUAACUCAGAACACUAAAACUAGCCAAAACUAAAGUUUUGGCAAGUUCCGGGCGCCCUGAAGAUGGAACUGGGUGCCUAGAAUCUCGGUGCAGAAUUGCAUUUGCUAUUGGAGUCAUUUCAGGCCUAUAUCCGGGCACCAAGUUGUGAGCCGAAAUUUGCUUGGUAGACAACUUCGUGUUUAUCAACCGUUGUUGACACGUGGCAGGAGGUGGUUUUGGAUGCAGGCGCAGGAUAAGGUUUUGGACCUUCUUACAGAGAGUGUAGAAUCCAGACUGCAUUUUGGGUAGAUUUGGGCACCCAGAAGUCAGUUUAGGGUGCCUGAAUUCUAGAUUUUCUGCGUUAGACAAGUUUAGGUUCUAUUUUUCUUCGGGCUAAUUUUAUCAUUCUUACUCAUCAAUAAAAGUGUGUGGAUGUUGUUUAUUAACUCUUUUCCAUUCCUCUUCAUAGUAAACUCCAUUUCUACAGCAUUUAAUCUUCCAAUUCCUUUCCAAAUCUCUCCAAACCUUCUCUUCGUCCUUGCUGGCUAGCAACAACAAUAGGAAUAGUGCCAGCAGGAGCUACUAGUUUUAAGUGUGGGAUAAUUUUGGGACUUCCAUUUGUUGUGGUGGUUUGAUUUGUGAUUUUAGUAUUAGAGGAGAGGUUGUGGAGCAAAUCCUAGAAUCUUAAUUAUAGGUUCGUAGGUCUAAAUUGAUGUAAAUUUGAGGAUUGAGCAAAAAUUAGAGAUUUGGUUGGAUUUUUAUGGAUUUUGCUUAUUUGAUUCUUGUAGCUGGAUCAUUGUUGGUUUUGAGUUGGUUUUUCCUACACUUCUUGUAGAGUUGGAGCUGGGUCUAGCUGGAUUAUAGGUUAGUGUGCUGAAAUUGAAGCUUAAUUUAGAUUUUUGAAACCGAAUUGAGUUUUCAAUGGAUUUUUGAAUCUAAUUUUUUUUUUGGUAAAUUUCUUGUUUGUUGUGUUUAGUUGGACUUUUCCACUGGUUUUGGGCUGGAAAGCUUGAUUUUUUUCAUUCCUAGCUGGUAGUAUUGGUCUACAUUUUCGCUAAAAUUCAGAAUUUUCUUUUAUUUUCUGCAUUGUUGAUUUUUUGGGCCUCACUUUCUUCAUCCGAUUAGUAUACCUGAGUUGUGGGGAACUUUUCUCAAAUUUUCUUUUAAAUCUUGGAGUGUUAGAGUUAUCCACAGCUGGUUGUUGAGGUAUAUACUUUGGAUUAAUCUUGAUCUAAUUCCACUCGUUGUAGCUGAAAUGCUUGUAUAUGACUACGUUGUUUGUUCGAUUACUCUAGUUGCAUUCCUACAACAUUUCUGGAGUUUCUCUUGAUCCCUAUAUAGGGAGAGGAGGUUUUGAACUGAGCAUUUCAUUUUCAUGGUUGGAUAAGCACCCUAGGUGGGUUUAAUUUACCGAAAACAUCGGACUUCUCAGUAUCUCAUAGAUUCCUGCAUGCAUGCUUUAUUUGUUAAAUUGGAAUAUUCUAGCUUAGAAUGAUUGAAUUAGUAUGGAUAAUGCUGAAAAUUUGAAUCUUGAGCAUGUUAAAACUGCAUGCAAAAAGAUUUUAAAUGUUGAAAUUAGGCCUCAACAAUGUAGAAAACUGGCAUUAUGACAUUUUUAUGCUCCGUCGAUAGUAUUUAGCUUCGGUAGCUAUUUUUAUCUAUUUUUCACCCUAGUUGGAGGGUUGUGAGCAUUCAGAUUAUUGUAGGAUGACUUUACGCUCCUGCUGAGGGGUUAAGUGAAUUUUUAUAGCAGUUGUUAGACUAAGUUGUGUAGGUUAUGCGGAAUCCUAGGAUCUAUCGAGAUACUAUCAAACAUCUAGAGGGGGGUGAAUAGGUGAAUAGGUCAAAAACACAAAUCUCAAUGCAAUAAAAAUAAAUGCGAAAAAUAAAACCAUACUGAGAUUUACGUGGAAAAACUCCAAUUUAGAGAAAAACCUACGGGACCAACACGCGAAAAAGUAAUCCACUAUGAGUAAAAGAUUACAAGGUGAUUACCGAUUCCACGGACUUGACCUCUCUUUUACCACCUACGGAUCUUGCGCACGUCACCGAAUUGUCCACGCCCCAUGUCCGAAUCUACGAUGCCACUCAAAUCCUCGAGCACUCACGAUUUAAAUCCACGAAUCGCCGUGAUCAUGCCGAAUCCACGAUGCUGCUCACAAAGAGAAAAUGCAUGUUUCUAUAGUGAUCCUUUGUUUAGAGUAUCAUUAAAGAACUAGAGAAAGGUCUUUUCUAAGCAAAUCGUAGAUCAAUUCGAUAUAUGCAUAUUGAAUUUCAAUAUCUCGAAUUGAUCUAAAGAGGCUAUUUGGUGGAGAAAGGUUAAGAACGAAAACCCUAACCUCAAGGGUUAUUCUCUCAUGAAUUCUGAGUGCUUCAACGUCAUAGAGAACUCUAACAUUGUAUUUAUCGACUUUAGAAUCAAUUAGAGUCAUAUUAGAAUCAGAAUUAGAAAAUCUGUACACUGAGUACCGGUACUCGGAUGUGGGCAUCUAUAUGCCAUGACGCAACAAGAAUUUCCUAACCUGGAGUAUCGGUACUCAGCCAAUGAAUGCAGUACUGGUACCACGUAACUCAGUACCGGUACUCAAACUGGUACUGGUACAUAAUUCAAUUUAUAGAAUUGCUACUCUCGGAUUUUGAGGAACUCAAUAUUGGGUUCUGACACUCAAUAUAAAAUAUCAAGUUUUUCAACGUGGUUUUGAGGAACUGAAACCUGGUACUAGAAUUCAAUAUAAAAUAUUGUUAUAAAUGAAUCAACAGCUCCAAAAGUACCACUUCUAAUCCACUAGUCAUCACUUAUAUGAUUCUAACGCCGUAAAUUGAUGUAAAUCACCAUAAUAUCUAAAUCAUACCUGAGUAUCGUGAUUCAACCUGUUAGAUGUUUUUGAAUUCUUCUCGGAUUCUCGGAUUCUUCAACCGUCGAUAGUGGAAACCGAACACGAACCAAACCCUUCAAGACUUCGACUCAAAUCACGAAAUAUACCAAUAAAAAUCCCUAACAAUCUCCCAUUUUGGCAAUUUUGUGAUAAAACCCAAAAUCAAAAAAUGAAGUUCAAUGUCAUCACCAAAACAUCGAAUCUCUUGCAUGUAAGAUCCAAACAAAAAUUACACAUAAACACCUAAAAACAAACUUUAUGACUUAGGACUUGGAGUCUUGAAGUCUUCAACAAUAUCCCCUUCAUCAUUCAAAAGUAUCUUGUCCUCCUUUGUUCAUCAUGAAAUUGUUUUGUGUUCCUGAUUCCUGUCAAUGCUCUCCCAUUUUUUGUCAAAAAUUGCCAAAAAGAAAGCAUAGAGAGAAAACAUAUUGCGAUAAAGAGUAGUAGCUAGUUAAUAGUUACAGGACCAAAAUACAGUAGUUAGUUGUUACUUCCUACAAGCAAAGACAAAAGAGAUAAACUAAAGUACGGAAGAGAAAACAUCACUCAUCACCUCCAUCAUCAUCAUCAUCUUUUUCUUAUGCUUCGUUAGCGCAAUGUGCUCCUUUUCCUACAGUAGACGGUUCGAUAGUGUGUGAUGAACUUGGUCUAGCAGUGCCAGGUACAAUAUCGUCAUGUAUGUCGGUAGCCCAGAAUAUCCAGAAUUCUCUUUACGCCACACUCUACCUUUUUAAACCUUUUCUCCAUUUUCUUAAAACCUUGUUCGACCUACUUCUUCAUAGAGCGAACUUCAUGAUAAAGUGAUUCUAUAGUAACCACUCCCCCUGAGCUGGAAGAUCCCUCAUAUUCUGCUGGUCGAGCGGCUGAACCAGAAAUAGCAGUUGUGUAAGCUUUGACUUGCUGAAAGGUCUUCAAGUGCUAAUUGACUUGGCCAACAUGACACCAUCAAUCGGACCUAGGCCAUAAUCAUACUUGUUACACAUGGUAUUUACACCAUUAUCUUUCAAAAUUCUCGUAAUCAAAAUAGAAAAUGGGAGUAGCUCACGUUGUCCCAAGGUCUGAAUUACAUGAGCCAUCUUUUGCCACAUCAAGAAAGGAAUGCUGAUGUUCAAACCUUAAGCACGCUCCGGGUGACCAAGAAGAAGAGAAGGAUAAGACAAUCCCAACGAAUUCUCUUAGUCCUUAUGGUCGGCAAUAUGUUAUAACAGAUAAUCAAGGAGAGAAUAUGAUAUUCCAGCCUUAAAUCCUUGGAUUCUACAAACAAGGGAUUUGUCCAAGUUCCAGGUUUGCAGAUUGCAUUGAUCAUAGUGUUCUAGUGAGAAGAAUGUUGAAUCGUCCUAUGUGUAUAUUGCAGACCAAUGAUAUUCACAUUCAAUCUAAACAUUGCACCGAUAGUAUAUGGAGUUACAACAAUCUUCUUGCCACGAACCGAUGUCUAAAAUUUAUAAUUUCCUAUUUCUUGAUCCUCGAAAAGAACCUUCCCACACAUAUGAAACAUUCGUAUAAGUUCAACACAAAACACUUCACGCGCCUGGAUUCUUCCAAUUGGUUAAAUGGGAGCACUUUGCAGUGAUUGUCCAAACUCCGGAACCUCUCUUACGAGCUCAUUGAAGUUCACGUAUCGCUCUCUUAAGCAUGUUUUGCUUACAAAAGCCUUUUGUCAUUGAGCAUCGACAGAUUGUGCUUCCGCGGCAUGUUUAGACCAUCGUUCACGUUCACUUGAACCUUGCUCUCGAAUGACCGGACCACAUGUGCAUCGUCGAGGAGGGUAACUUGCACCUUUUUUCUUCCUUAAGGUCUUAGGUGCUUUUCUUUUUCCUCUCACAGUUCGUGCCUUAGCUUCAGCUUCAGCUUCUCUCUCGGAUGAACUUUCACGAUAUUUAGACUUAGAACUUGUAGUGUCUUCCUCAAUACGUGUUCUUUUAGAAGAUCCUCUGCAUCCACGUACGUCCAUGACCACGACCUCCUCCAGAGGCCAUUAACACCACCAGUACAAGAAGAAUCGAGAAAGCAAUUGCCCUGUGUAACAUGUGAGGUGUAUAUUAGAUUUAACACAUUCACAGUAUUCAGAAAUCUGUAAAGUAGUGUAACAAAAGUUCUAAACAAGUGUAAACAGUAGAAUAUUGAAUUUCCCUUGAAAACAAACAAUAAAAUCCAUGUAAAAUAACUACACAACAAAAACCUCAAAUUCUGCCACGAAAACAUGCUAUAGAUCUUAGAUUCAUAAUAAAUAUGCAUUAUUUACAAAUCUAAGGGUACAAGAAUUAAGCAUGCAUGUAACUAAUGCCAAUUAGAGCAAAAAUUUGCAAAAAAAUUCACGAAAAGCAAAGAUCUCUUUCAGCCCAACAAAAAUAUUAAAAACUAAAAAACUGGGGUUUCGAAGAUGAAGAGAUGAGUUUUGAAGAGCAAACUUACAAAUUGAUGCUUGAAACUCAAAGAUCUAGAUGAGAAUGAUGUUAGAAAAUUUUUAGAGAGAGAAAGAGAGUUUUGGUUGAGUUUGAAGUGGAAAUAAAACUCUCAUACCAGUANUCUCUUUCAGCCCAACAAAAAUAUUAAAAACUAAAAAACUGGGGUUUCGAAGAUGAAGAGAUGAGUUUUGAAGAGCAAACUUACAAAUUGAUGCUUGAAACUCAAAGAUCUAGAUGAGAAUGAUGUUAGAAAAUUUUUAGAGAGAGAAAGAGAGUUUUGGUUGAGUUUGAAGUGGAAAUAAAACUCUCAUACCAGUAUUAAAUAUUAGUUCUGCAGCCGUAGUACCGGUACUCAAAAACGCGUACUGGUACUCAAUAAAAAGUUCAGUUUUAAAAUGUUCAGGUUUUGCGGAAUCUGACUCUAGUAUCGACAUCCUGUGUUCUGGUACCCAAUUUGAGUACCGGUACCCAAUGCCCGAAUAAGUUAACUUCAUAUCUAUUUCAUACAAUUCAAGUUAAUUUUAUAAAAAUUGAGAAUUGUACUUCGAAAUUGUCACGAUGAAAAUAAAAUAUUAUACAAUUUCUUAAUCCGUAUAUACGUCAAAAUUAAGUCAUCAAAGAUAAUCUAAUGGCUUAAAAACUGUCAAGAUGUAAGGGAUUAUGAAGAUGACUUAUAAAGAUUUACCAAAAAUGACACAAAUUUGUCAUAAACAUUCAAAUUUGAGACUAAGCAAACAAAGCACCGGGGAUGGCUCUUUGAGUAUGUUUUCAACAUACCGCCUUAUAACUCCAAAAAAAUAUUUAAAUUAUGCACACUUUUUCAACCUUUUCGGUUAUGCAUUUAAUAUCCAUGUGGUAGCUUCACACACUUAUCGGACGACCAGGCGGUAGCUCUUUCUUACAUGUAGUGUUAGUUUUCAUACUCCCUUUAGAGAUGUAACUCUUUUCACGUCUUUCAAUAUUUUAGGAGCAUUUUUCAUAUCAAUUUUUAUAAUAAUAACAACUCUCCCUAAAUUAAGGAAUCUCGCAUUUGAAAGAAAAUUUGACAAAUUUUAGUCCAUUAGCGAAUGUGUCACGCCCCGCGACCGCCAAUUUGGUCAGUUUGGGCACGUACACAGACGCCGGACAGACAGAGCUUCCCCUGUCCGCCCAAGGCCCCACAAGUUCACAAACAUGUAUAAAGAAUUGCCCAGGAAGAAUUACGAUAUACAUGACUUGCACGAAGGCAAGUAACAAGAGCAAGUGAAAGUAAAUCCUAACUAUUACAUCCAUUCACUAAACUUGAUUACAUCUAACCAAAAUACAAAUCUUUUACAUCUGUCUUUAUAUACAAUUUUGUCUCCCAAAAAACAUCCUUUUCGUCAUAUACAAAAGAUGAAAUAAGGGUACAACUAAUACACGGGUGUCCACUGCCUAGGGCGCUAUGCCCUUGCCGCGAUCCUCGACCUCCUCGCUCGCGCUCGGAUCUAUAAAAAUGGUGGGGUGAGAACUACAAAAAGUUCCUACUGGGUUCGGCAACCGACCCCACCGACUUUCCCAUUAGGUCUAAUCAGGCAUGAGUAGAGAAAAACAGAUAGAUAGAUAGCCAUUUUUAAACAAAUGCAGCUACUAUGCCUGGCAAGGAUAAUGAAACAAUAUAUAUAUAUAUAUAUAUAUAUAUGAUGCCCAUUAUGCAUAUAGAUUGUCUUUGCCAAUACCCAAUCCUCUUGGCUAGCCCGUAGGUUUAGCCCCAAAACUCGCCAACCAAAAAUCCCUACAAUCGGGGAGAUACCGCUACAACCCGACGGGAUUGUCUUCUAGGGAGAUACCGUUACGACCUAGUGAUGACCACUCCGGAGCUCAUCGCUUUAGGGGGAGCGACCGCCCUCAAGCAUAAGACUCUAGGUGAGUAUAAUCCAAUCCACAAGCCAUGAGGAUGCCAUGUCCAAUAAUGCCACAACAUGCAAAGUGUUCCAUUCACUAGCAUUCAAUACUACAAUGUGCUAUUUCAAUCAUUUGUUACAAUGUCACCAUAUUUUAUACCUUGGCUAGAUUCAUAUCUCAAUUCAUGCAUCUAUAGGGUACCCAAAUGUCCAAUGUUCCAUUGCCAAAUUAUAUGCAUCUUUACAUUAAAAGCAUGCAAGAAGUACCAACAUGUUUACCAUUUAACCCUACAAUGCAUGAAUCCUACACAUACACAUACAUGCUCAAAUGGUGACUUAGACAUAAAGAGAAAUUCAACUGUUUCGGAUAGCACCACCUACCUUGUAGGGAUGUUGGAGUGCUAGAACUCGAGUUCCACGAUUUAUGGUCGCCGCUUUCUCUUGACCCAACGCUAACGAUGCCGAAAUGAGGUUUUUCCUCAAUAACUCGGCAUAGACUUGUUGGAACUUUGAUCCGAGUCUCGCAACAAGUCAGUUUAUACUUCAAUUAGGGCUACAAGAGAUCAAUUCCAUCUUAGACCUCAAUUCCACAAAAAUCCUAAAUUUAACCCUAAGAUUUCCAUCAUCAACAAAUACCCAAAUUUCUUGGGAAUUCAUGAGUUAAUCUAACAUAAUAUCUUCUAGGAACAAUAACUAAAAGAGAUUUAGCCAAACCCUAGCUCAUAUCCACAUGAACUCACCUCAACUUCUAGCUUCUUCCUCAACUCCUUGCACAAGAGCUAGCUUCACUCCCAAGCAAGCUUCCUUCUCCUCCAAGCUCCACUCUUGGAGUAAACCCUAAAGAGAGAAAGAGAGAAAGGGAGAGAGUAGAGGGUGAGAGAAGGUUCUAGAGAGAGAAAGAGAGCUUCUUCUCUUUGGUCUCAUGUGAGGGAAAUGAGGGCUAAGGGUAUAGAACCUAUAUAUUAACCCUCCCAAACGACAUUUGCAUCAAGGCCCCUCACAAAACUGAUAUUUUGGACCACCCAAAAUUGCUGCGUGUUCAGGGUCCAGAUCUUGCACUCAGGGUCCAAACCCUGAAAGCAAUUUUUGCAGCUUCACAACUAGGGUCCGGACCUUGCUGCCACGGUACGGACCCCGGGAGCAACGAACCUCACCAUCUCGACCACCACCACACUUCGAUCAAUUUGACUGAAGUUCGGUACAUCCUAUCAGGGAUUCGGCAAAUAGUGGCCCACAAAAUCAAGAGUGUGGCCGAUCAUGGGGAGUAACUGAAUAAGCGGGCGGAGCUAUAAAUAACGAAAUGACUGACAAAAGGGUGUCUUUUUCCCUGCGAACAAUAAGACCAAUUUCUUUUUUCUUUCAUUUUCCGCUUUCUAGUAGUAGUCUAUUCACAAUCCCUUUUCUUUUUCUAUAUUUAUUGUCUUUCCUAAGAGUAGUCUUUAGGUUAGUAUUGCCUCUAAGAUCGUACGCCAUAUCGGGGCACUCUUUUCUAAAACAUUUUCUAGUUUUAAGUAAUAUAUAAGCAUCUUUGCUCUUCAGCCAAACUUAAAAAUAUUGUGCAAUCUCCAGACUCAGCUGAUCCAACCGAAUUGAAAACACUGUUUAAUCUUUGAAUUCGGCUGAUCCGAUCCAUCAUCAGCCGAAUCGCUUGAUUCGAUUGCGGGUGCUAACUUCGAGGGUCGCCGUCAAUAGCCGCUCUAUCUCCUUGCACAUUUUUCGAAGGAGGACUUUUGAUCGAGGCAGUGGUCAAGAAAAUCAGCUUGCAGUAAUUUUUGACACGCCCGAUAGGACACUUUAGGUAAUCUUUCACUUAUUUUGCUUUCUAUUAUGACUGACGAUAAUACUACGAAUCUCCACAACCGUGUUGUUCCUCAAUUUUUGGAGAAUGACCAGGCAAGUAGCAGGAAAAAUGCAAAUAAGCAUCACGCUGUAUUGCUAGUCGAGAAUGAAACCAGCAGACAGUCGACUCAUGAAGAGUUGAGUUUAGCUUAGGCACUUAGACAGUUGAUUCGAGUCUUGCAGGUUUUAGACCAAAAUAGUCAUCGAAGCAUUGCUCGUCUAGACUAGUAUUGGCCGCUAUCACGGCCUCCAAUGAAAAAAUUACUCGAAUUGGGCAAUUAUUGGCACGAAAUGAGCAACCAGUGAUGGGUCAAUAAGGACCUUCAGUUACGGCAGUGUUACAAAAUCAAGUUACACCAGCAAUCACGCAGCCUCAAGUAACACCAUUUCAAGCUACAUAAAAAUCGGCGAAUGCGAAUGCCGGUCAACAACCCGAAGUGGCUUAGGGUUUACCUCCUCCACCACCUUUCGGCUUAUUAGCCCCAAAAUAUGGGGAUAAGGGCUAGGGGCAAGGCUCCAAUAAUAUGCAAGGAUCUAUUCCUGCAAUGCAGAAUUUGGAGCUUCCUCCAGGGCCGAAUCCGGCUCGAACAUAGGCCCAUGUUCCUGUAAUAGAGAACAAUAAUGAAUUGUAUGCUCAAAUUGAAAAAGCUAUCCGAAAUACUUUUAGAGUAGGAGCUAGGCCGGCAAUACGGCUUGUAUUUCAAUCUUCUCAUCCCAUAAACAUCGACAUAGAACAUUCUUAUCUAGCAAAUUGAAAAAUAUCUAAAUUUGAUAAAUUCUCUAGUGUUGAGAGCGAAAACAUGGUCGAACAUGUGGCGCGGUUCACAGCCCAAUGUAGGGAAGCAGCUGCAAAUCUUUUUUUGAAACUUCGAUAUUUUAACACGUUGUUAAAUAAAACGGCGUUUACUUGGUACACCAGUCUGCCUGCCAAUUUUGUUCGAGAUUGGGACGAACUGGAUAGAAAUUUCAUAAGCAAUUUUAUAGAUUAGACCAGAAUUAUCGGUAGCUGAUUUGGCUCAAUGUCGAUAAAAGCCGAGAGAAUCGGUCAAAGAAUAUUUAAACCAAUUCAAAACAGUAAGGAAUUCAAAACUGUGUUUUGUUAGAAUGCCAGAAUCAGAAUUUGCCGGAUGGCAUUUAACAGUCUACAUUUCAAAAUCAAAGAUCACUUUGAAUAUAAGUAUUUUUUAAAUUUGUUUGAUUUCAAUGUUCAAGUUGCGCAGUAUGAGCAAUUCAGGAAAGGAAACAAUGACGAUGAGCCAAGAUGGAGCCAAAAUAAAAAUUGGAAUAAGGAAAAAGAAAAGAAUAUUUUGUUCAUUGAAGAAACUUCGGCUCAAGAUAGGUCGAAUACUUCGGAUGAAAAAGAAGAUUCGGCUGAUGAGGCCGAAGUUUAUAUAGAGCGUAGAGCGCGAUUGGGGCGGUCGGAUAUGGAUGUGGAUGCGUUUACUAGUGACGAUGAAAUGAAGUAAAUUGUUUCAACAUCUCCGUGAUCUCACCUCUUGUGGAUGGUAGGCUAAGGGCCAUUGAAAAAAAAGGAAACAAAUGUGAGUAAAUGCAACGAAAAGCGAAGAGUCAUUUGAAAAAACGGCUUAGGGUCCCACCUCCCUCAAAUUAAGGGGUACAUCUAUGUAAGAUUUAGGGAUGAGAAUUCAUGUAUAUAUAGAACUAGUGAAGUUACCCGCAUUGCGGCGGAAUGAUGCUAUAGAGGACAAAAUAUAAACAAAAUAAAAAUUUUAAAAUUUUUUGACUUACAUGAGACUUCAAUAAAUACAAAUAGAAGAUAAAAAAUAGAUAUAGGUAUAGAUGUAGCAAAAUUUAUAAUUUCAGUAAAUAAAUUAGAUAUAACAACAAUGAAAGAAGCAACAAAAAGAGUUUCCACCCCAUACACAGCUUGAUCGCAUUUCGACAUCCGGGAGGCGAAUCCCGAUUUUUACGUCGCCUUCGCCGCUAGUGUCGAGUUUCUUCUUAGUCACGAUCAUGUCUAUCCCAUACAAAUCCUCCCACACUCGUUACAUCUUCCCCCUCACUAACUCCAAAUCCAUCGUCGCUUCUUUCUACCGCACCCCACCAGGAUCCCCGGAACCUUAAUUUCAAUCCACACACGAUUUAAAAAAACAGGAAAAGAAUUUAAAAAAGCUACAAAACAUGAACCCUUCUUGAGCGCCAAGAAAAAAGAGAAAAAAAAUAAUAUGAGAAAAAAAAGUAUGAAGAAAUCUAAUUUUACUCAUUUGUUCUUGUGAAAUUAAUUUAUUUAGAUGACUGACCAUGUAAACAUAUUAAUUGAGAGGUAGGGAUUAGGAAGAUGAAGCAUUGGGUAGAGAUGAGAGUGGGAAGAUGGAAGGCAAGGGUGAAGGAGGAUUCGCCAUGUGGCAAAAGUUUAGGAGAAAUAAUGUAUAGGUACAGAAGUUUAGAAGAAAUAAUGUAUAGGUAUAGAUAGAUAGAUAUAGAUAUAGAUAUAGAUAUAGAAUAUAGGUAUAGAUACAAAUAUCUAUUUACAAGGGUGUUAUAGAAAAUUUUAUUGGUACGCCUCAAUUAUUUCCGUAUUGAACAAAACACAGAAUUUGUAUAAAUACAUGUAUUCUACGGGGCGAAGCAAACAAACACAUUUCUACAAUAUUAAAAUUUGAUUUUCGGAUAAUAAUUUAUACACAUUUAAACUUUUGCUGGAAUUAUAAAAUUGUGAAUUUAAUGGGCCUUUAGGGUUUAUGUAGGAUGACAUGGAAGUAUUAUAAAAAUUAAAAAUAAAAAAAUUAAAUAUAUUUAAUAAGAUAUUUAUUUCAAGCGUGAAAUAGUCAAUUUACAUAAAAGUCAAUUUUAAUUAAUUGGUCAAUUAACGGAGAGGAACAUAUUUGCAAAUUAUGUAAUCUUCGAGAGAUAUAUUUGAAAACUAAAAUUUUGCAUGAACAGUUAAUUUCAUUACUUUGUAGGAAUAUUUAUGCUGUUAAUCUUACAAAAUUUAGCUAAACAUGUAUAGAAUUUUCCUCAAUUAUCAUCAAUUUUGAUCUCGCUACUUAACCUUGAACAAUUUUGAUUUUUCUACCUAAACUUUUAAUUAUUUAAUUUGAGAAAGUUAAUGACUCUUUAACUUCAAAAUUUGAAUGCAUUAUUUAUCCUUAAGAAUUUAAUUAGUAUAUUUUAUACAAACUAUAAAUUUAUCAAAAUAAGCAAUUAGCAUAAAUUUUAUAUCAGAAGACCCUCAAAUAACUUAAAUCCAAUAAAUCUAAAGUUACGGUACAACAACUAAAUUUUUUUGAAGUUGGAUAUUCAAAUCAAUAUAAUUUAUGACUCUGGAAUUUAAUUCUUCUAACACUAAUAAACUAGUAAAAAUAUAUUAAUAUAUUUUUGUUCCCAUAGUGUGCCUUUGAGGCAAAAACGUAUAUGGUCUAUCUAAACUAUGAACCAAUUUGAAUUGGCUACUCAACAUAUGAAAAUUUUGAUUUUACUACCAACCUUUUAAUUUUCUUGAUUUGAGUUAGUUGAUGGUAAUUUGACUUCAAUAUUUAAGUUAAUUUCAUAGUUUAAGAAAUUUAUGGUUAUGAGAAUUACGUGAAAUAUGCUAACGAAAUUUGUAAAGAUAAACAGUACGUAUAUUCAAAUUUUGAAGGUAAUGUGCCAUUGACCGACUCAAAUCAAAUAAUUAAAAAAUUGUAUAGUACAAUCAAAAUUUUUAAAAAAUGAAUAGUUGACUUAAAAUUGAUUCAUAGUGCAAAUAAGUUUUAUAAAAAUAGAAUGUAUGUGUAGUUAUAUAGUGAGAAGUAGAAAAUGUCCCGCGGAAUUUAAUUCUUCUAACUCUAAUGAAUUAUAAAAAUAUUUUAAUAUAGUUUUUUUUUCUCAUAGUGUUCUUUGAGGUGAAAAUAUAUAGAAAAUUCAUCUCAACUAUGUACUAUUUUGAAUCGGCUACUUAACCUUUAAAAAUUUGGAUUUUGCUACGAACCUUUUAAUUUGCUUGAUUUGAGUUAGUCGAUGAUAAUUUGACUUCAAUAUUUAUGUUAAUUAUCUAGUUUAAUAAAUUUAUGGUUAUGAAAAUUAUAUGAAAUAUACUAGCGAAACCCGUAAAGAUAGAUAACAUAUUCACAUUUUGAAGGUAACGUGCCGUUGACGGACUCAAAUCAAACAAAUUGAAAAGUUGCAUCGUCCAAUCAAAAUUUUAAAAAAUUAGAUAGUUGACUUAAAAUUGAUUCAUAGUGCAAAUAAGUUUUAUAUAUUUUUUCUUUCUUAGAUAACAUUUUAUUAUUUUUGUUUCUGAUGUACUGGCAUUCACGUGUCCAAUUAUAAGCUGAAUUAUUUAUGCUCAACUAGUGUACUGAUCCGCGUGUUACGGCGGGUAGAUACUAUUAAAGUAAAAAUUUAUAAAGAAUAAAAUAUUAUUUUAAUAAAAAAAAGUAAAUAUAGUCUAUAUUAUUGACAAACACUUUUUUUUAACAAAAAAACUAUAAUGAAAAAGAAUCAAUCGUUUCAAUAAAAUUAUUUAAUUUUGUUCAAAAGAGGUCGCAUAUCAUGCAAAUGGCUGAUUAAAAUUAUUUUUUUUAACACAAUAAUAAAAAAAAUAUCAUAUGGCAGUUAAUAUGAGUAUAUGACUAAAAAAAGACCCACAAUAAUAUAUAAGACAAUUUAUAAGUAUUUUACAUAUAUAUUAUUUUUAAUCAAUUAAUUGACUCCGAAUAUGAAACACAACAAAGGUUCGAAUUUGUAAAUUUAAGGAAGAGGGUGGAAGUCCAAAAGGUAAUGGAAAGGGAUAAAAAAAACUUUUUAGGCCUUAGUAAAUUUAAAGAAAAUGAGAAAAAUUAAAAAAAAAAGAAGUAGGCCCCACUCCUCCUCAAAUUAAAGAGGUGGGUAUAUGUAGGAUUUAGUAAUGAGGAUUAAUGUAUAAGUAUAGAUUUGAGAUGUCAAACGCGUCUGACCCAGCAUUGAGGAGGAAGUCUACUAUAUAAUACUUACACUAUAUCAUAUAUCCCCAACCAAUCAUAUCUCUUCUUUCGGGAGAAAAGUACAACAAAAGUAUUUUUUAAAAAAAUCAUGAUGGGAUGGGUGAAUCCCAGGAGAGCAUUUUGGUUGGUUGGGGGUAUUGCAUCAGUAACAUAAAUAUUGCAUUUUCAACCAAGCUUUCAUCCAAUGUUGAACUAUCGGAGAGUCACAGACUCCCCCCCCGUCCUUAUCAGCCUACAACCCACGCAGACGGCGUGAGACUUGUCUCGCCAGUCUUGUCAUUUAGAUUCUGACAUAACUUAUUAUCUUGUCAUUCAGAUCCUAACAUAGUCUGUCACCCUGUCUUUCAGAUUUUAGCUCAGUCGAGACUCUUCAUACAUUUCUGACUGGUGAUUGGCUCUGAUACGACAUGUAACAAUCUGACCCACUAGCAAUAAUAACUUAUUGGGUUAAAACCAUCGAUCGAAAAUUCUUUAACCUAGUUAUUAUUAUUAUUAGUGUUCAUGAUCUCUCAUAUACCUAAUCACAAUUGAGUUUCAAUCUGAGGUAGGAUUAUGGGAAUCAUUUUAUGGU